UGGGGAAUCUUGCACAAUGGGGGCAACCCUGAUGCAGCGACGCCGCGUGAGCGAUGAAGCCCUUCGGGGCGUAAAGCUCUUUCGACCGGAACGAUAAUGACGGUACCGGGAGAAGAAGCUGCGGCUAACUACGUGCCAGCAGCCGCGGUAAUACGUAGGCAGCAAGCGUUGUUCGGAGUUACUGGGCGUAAAGAGUACGUAGGCGGUUUUCUAAGUUCGGUGUGAAAUCUCCCGGCUUAACUGGGAGGGUGCGCCGAAGACUGGGAAGCUGGAGUGUGGGAAAGGCAGGCGGAAUUCCUGGUGUAGCGGUGAAAUGCGUAGAUAUCAGGAGGAACACCGGCGGUGUAGACGGCUUGCUAGACCAUAACUGACGCUGAGGCACGAAAGCGUGGGUAGCAAACA
rnacentral:rRNA from 1 species